rnacentral:rRNA from 1 species
AUUGAACGCUGGCGGCAGGCCUAACACAUGCAAGUCGAGCGGAUGAAGGGAGCUUGCUCCUGGAUUCGGCGGCGGACGGGUGAGUAAUGCCUAGGAAUCUGCCUGGUAGUGGGGGACAACGUUUCGAAAGGAACGCUAAUACCGCAUACGUCCUACGGGAGAAAGCAGGGGGCCUUCGGGCCUUGCGCUAUCAGAUGAGCCUAGGUCGGAUUAGCUAGUUGGUGAGGUAAUGGCUCACCUAGGCGACGAUCCGUAACUGGUCUGAGAGGAUGAUCAGUCACACUGGAACUGAGACACGGUCCAGACUCCUACGGGAGGCAGCAGUGGGGAAUAUUGGACAAUGGGCGAAAGCCUGAUCCAGCCAUGCCGCGUGUGUGAAGAAGGUCUUCGGAUUGUAAAGCACUUUAAGUUGGGAGGAAGGGUUGUAGAUUAAUACUCUGCAAUUUUGACGUUACCGACAGAAUAAGCACCGGCUAACUCUGUGCCAGCAGCCGCCGUAAAAC